rnacentral:rRNA from 1 species
CCCUUAGAUGUUCUGGGCCGCACGCGCGCUACACUGACUGGUGCAACAAGUGUCGCUCCUUGGCCGAUAGGCCUGGGCAAUCUUUGAACGCCAGUCGUGAUGGGGAUAGAUUCUUGCAAUUUUUGAUCUUCAACGAGGAAUUCCUAGUAAACGCGAGUCAUCAACUCGCAUUGAUUACGUCCCUGCCCUUUGUACACACCGCCCGUCACACCUACCGAUUGAAUGGUCCGGUGAACCCUCCGGAUCGGCUCGCGCCAACGCAAGUUGAGCAAAGGCCGAGAAGUUGGGUAAACCUUACCAUUUAGAGGAAGGUGAAGUCGUANCA